GGCUAUUCUGAUCCGCUUCCCAGGACAGGCCAGUGCUUUGUCUCCCCCUCCAGACUAGCUGGCCAGCUUUGCUGUCAAUUGAAAGACAUCAACACAACAAGUCCGUUCUCUCCUUGUGCAUCUCUGCUGGUCUGGCAGCCUUUUCGCCAGUCACAAAGGCAUCCUGUUGAGCAGGCCAAGGACCCGGAGCCUGGCGCUGCGAGUAGCGAAUUCUGAGAGCAGCCCCGUUUUGAAAAACGACCGUUUAGAAUGUCCAGGGCAGAGAUAAGGGAGGCUGUUUGUCCUUCUUCUUUCCUUUUCUUCCUCUUCCUCUUCUGCUAUUUAUGACAGCCGUUGGUUCUCCUUUAACCAGGCAGUGCUGCCUUGCUCAGAAGUCCAGUGGGAUUCACAGGGGGCAGGAAGCUCUGGGUUUUCCCCACAAACGCCCCCAAAACCAACCUUGGGAAGUGGAGCUACCUCCAGGGCAUCUGCCAUCCCCACUUUUCUUCCUCCUGGCCAGUUCUUGGAUUCCAGAGAUAAGCCCGUCUCCCACCCCCACCCAGUGUCACCAUGAGCUAAUAAUAAGCCCCUCGCUCCUUCUCACCAGCACAGAGAGGCCUCGCCAGCUUAUCUCCGGCUGGUUAAUCUUUGUCCAGAGAGCCCUUCUGAUUAAGCAACCUGUUGCCAUCCUCUGCUUAACUCUUUGCAGCUGCCACCAUCUCCCCUCGCCCCUCCAACAGGAACCAACUGGUGCACAGCAAUCUGGACUGAGAGCAGCCCUCCCAGAACAGCAGAGCCACCAGCACUGUGACACGGGUCAGAACAAGGGCCCAGCCCCGAGACUGGUCAGCAACAUCAUCACCGGGGCCCAAGGAGACCAACACCUGAGGGCGCCCCCUUCCAAGCCCUCUUUUUCUGCAGCAGCAAGGGGAAACAACUACCACAGCAGCGGCUCCUACCACCAGUUAAAAGGGUUGCGUUCCAGGGUCCCACUGGCCCCAGCAAGGAAGCCUGCAAAGCCUAAAGGGGGCCUCCUCCUUCCAGAUCAGUUCAGCUCAAGAGGAGGCCUUUCAACUGAGCUUCCUCCACUUUGGCC
rnacentral:lncRNA from 1 species